rnacentral:rRNA from 1 species
GAUGAGCGCUGGCGGCGUGCUUAAUACAUGCAAGUCGAGCGAACAGACGAGGAGCUUGCUCCUCUGACGUUAGCGGCGGACGGGUGAGUAACACGUGGAUAACCUACCUAUAAGACUGGGAUAACUUCGGGAAACCGGAGCUAAUACCGGAUAAUAUAUUGAACCGCAUGGUUCAAUAGUGAAAGACGGUUUUGCUGUCACUUAUAGAUGGAUCCGCGCCGCAUUAGCUAGUUGGUAAGGUAACGGCUUACCAAGGCAACGAUGCGUAGCCGACCUGAGAGGGUGAUCGGCCACACUGGAACUGAGACACGGUCCAGACUCCUACGGGAGGCAGCAGUAGGGAAUCUUCCGCAAUGGGCGAAAGCCUGACGGAGCAACGCCGCGUGAGUGAUGAAGGUCUUCGGAUCGUAAAACUCUGUUAUUAGGGAAGAACAAAUGUGUAAGUAACUAUGCACGUCUUGACGGUACCUAAUCAGAAAGCCACGGCUAACUACGUG